rnacentral:rRNA from 1 species
CAAGAGCGUAUGUAAAAGUUGUUGCAGUUAAAAGCUCGUAGUUGAACCUUGGGUUUGGUUGGCCGGUCCGCUUUUUUGCGAGUACUGGAUUCAACCGAGCCUUUCCUUCUGGCUAACCAGUCGUUUCGGCGGCUGGCGAACCAGGAUUUUUACUUUGAGAAAAUUAGAGUGUUCAAAGCAGGCAUUAGCUUGAAUAUAUUAGCAUGGAAUAAUAGAAUAGGACGUUAUGGUUCUAUUUUGUUGGUUUCUAGGACCAUCGUAAUGAUUAAUAGGGACGGUCGGGGGCAUCAGUAUUCAGUUGUCAGAGGUGAAAUUCUUGGGUUUACUGAAGACUAACUACUGCGAAAGCAUUUGCCAAGGACGUUUUCAUUAA